rnacentral:RNase_P_RNA from 1 species
AUGGCAGACCACUUAUCGCUUUUUUUAAAAGAGGAAAGUCCGGACACCACAGAACAGUAUAGCGGGUAACACCCGUCAUUCAAAAAAUGAAUAGGACAAGUGCAACAGAAAGAAUGUACAGGUAAUGCUGUAGUGAAAUCUUGCAAACUCUAUACGGUGAAACGUCAAGUAUAUUUACGAUUAUGGUUGUUCGCUUAAUGUAAAAGGGUAGACGGUUUGAACUUUUAAGUAAUUAAGAGUCUAGAUAAAUGAUAAGAUAAUACAGAAUCCGGCUUAUGGUCUGCCUUUUUU